rnacentral:rRNA from 1 species
AACGAACGCUGGCGGCAGGCUUAACACAUGCAAGUCGAACGCCCCGCAAGGGGAGUGGCAGACGGGUGAGUAACGCGUGGGCAUCUACCUAGUUCUACGGAACAACAGUUGGAAACGACUGCUAAUACCGUAUACGCCCUAUGGGGGAAAGAUUUAUCGGAAUUAGAUGAGCCCGCGUAAGAUUAGCUAGUUGGUGAGGUAAUGGCUCACCAAGGCGACGAUCUUUAGCUGGUCUGAGAGGAUGAUCAGCCACACUGGGACUGAGACACGGCCCAGACUCCUACGGGAGGCAGCAGUGGGGAAUAUUGGACAAUGGGCGCAGGCCUGAUCCAGCCAUGCCGCGUGAGUGAUGAAGGCCUUAGGGUUGUAAAGCUCUUUCAGUAGGGAAGAUAAUGACGGUACCUACAGAAGAAGCCCCGGCUAACUUCGUGCCAGCAGCCGCCGUAAGAC